AAUUUUGGACAAUGGGGGGAACCCUGAUCCAGCCAUCCCGCGUGUGUGAUGAAGGCCNNNGGGUUNUAAAGCACUUUUGACAGNGAANAAACAACACCGGCUAAUACCCGGUGCCAAUGACGGUACCUGUAGAAUAAGCACCGGCUAACUACGUGCCAGCAGCCGCGGUAAUACGUAGGGUGCAAGCGUUAAUCGGAAUUACUUGGCGUAAAAGGUUAGCAGGCCGACAAGAAAGAAGGAUGUUCAAUCCCCAGGCUUCACCCUGGAACUGCCUUCCUAACUGGCUAGCUAGAGUAUGUCAGAGGGGGGUAGAAAUCCACCUUUAGCAGUGAAAUGCGUAGAUAUUUUGAGGAAUUCCCAUUGCGAAGGCCGCCCCCUGGGAUAAUACUUACGCCUAGGUACGAAAGCGUUGGGAGCAAACA
rnacentral:rRNA from 1 species